GGAGCUCAAGUUUGAGGUGAAACCAGGCUCAGGGUCCACCUGUCCUCGCUGAUCCAUGGAUUUCUGUGUGACCAGGUCCCGGGCUGGACAGAGAGUGACUCUAUUGGGAGCUGAGCCGUGAGACUCAGUGCAUCACCCACCUCUGCUCCUUCAUCCUGGACUGGGACAGCCUCUACCUCAGUGGUUACACCUAUGGAGACGUGGUCCCGACUACCAGCAGUGAGUAUUCCUGGCCCUGAUCUCCU